rnacentral:miRNA from 1 species
GGGCUGGGCUGGGCUGGGCUGGGCUGGGGCUGACUGGGCUGUGAGGGAGUCCCCAUCCUUUCUUUACGCCCUAUUUAACC